rnacentral:rRNA from 1 species
UACGUAGGGACCAAGCGUUGUUCGGAUUUACUGGGCGUAAAGGGCGCGUAGGCGGCGUGGUAAGUCACUUGUGAAAUCUCUGAGCUUAACUCAGAACGGUCAAGUGAUACUGCUGUGCUAGAGUGCGGAAGGGGCAAUCGGAAUUCUUGGUGUAGCGGUGAAAUGCGUAGAUAUUCGCAAGAACACCAGUGGCGAAGGCGGCUCACUGGCCCGGUACUGACGCUGAGGUGCGAAAGCCAGGGGAGCGAACGGG